rnacentral:lncRNA from 10 species
GUGUUCCCUGCGUCAACAAUUUAUUCAUUCCACAAACAUUUCUAAGUGUCCAUGGUGACCCAGACAUCAUGGGAACUUCAGGGUUCCAGAGCUGAGUAGAACACAACUCCCAUCCUUAGGGAUUCACCAUCCAGUAGAGGAGAAAGACGUCGAGACAGAAGACAGAAGGGAAAGGAAAAGCUCAAUGCUGUGCCUUCAACUUAGCUUCUCCAUUUUUUGGAGAAGGGUUAAUAGGGGAAGCAGAGAGAGAGAGAUGAGAGACCAAAGUUUCUAGGGCCUUUAUCUCCAGAGCAGAGGGUCUGAAACCUUAGUGAGCAAAAACUGAUCCGGAAGACUUGUUGGAGGCAUACCUUCCAGUUCAGCGAGCCAUUUCAGCAGAUUGGAGAUCCCCUGCCUGCAGCACGUGCUGAUCUCCAAGGGUGAGGCUGGAUGAAGCCAGGGGCUAUGGAAAGGGAGACUGUUUCAGAGGACUUGACACCAUCUUCAGUAAUUUCUCUGGUUCUUGGCAGCUCCAUUUGGCUGCGUCCCUACCCUGCAUAACCCUCCCAGCUAGUCUACUCCAGGGCAGCAUCCAGCUGGUGACCUGAGAGGGCAGUGGCGCACCAGUCUCCAUGAAGGUUGAGCUCCGAUGGCCAACAGCCAUUUCCACCUUGUGGUCUACAACUCUUCAUCCCGACUGCAUGGAGGUUGGUCUCUCUCUUCAGCUGGAUUUAGGCCACCAUCUGAGCCCCCGGGGUACGUUUUGUCUGACCCUGGCGCCAUUCGAACGGUUCUUCUACAGCAUCAGUUCUCUUUCCUGCCACCAUGUGAAGAAGGACAUGUUUGCUUCCCCUUCUGCCAUGAAUGAAAAACAUGGCCAGCAAAGCAGGUGAGGCAAAGAUCAGGAAGGACAUUAAACGCCAAACUAAGGAGCGGAACUGAAUGAGCAGUGAAGGGGAACAAUGGCUUCAGCAGGUCCACUGGGCUCCUCUUUUCUGUCAGCCUCCCCCUACCCCUCACCUCUGUACUACUCAUGUUACUAUCUACGUCUCUUCACCAAUGUCAUUGUGGAAAUAAAAGCUUAUCUGUAAGAGUACUGAUGAAGUAUUAACUCACCCCCUUUAAGUUCCACCCUCCAUAAAGCUAAAAGUCAGCAAACCAAUUUAAGUGAUCUAUUUUAGAAUUUCAGCAAACUUUGAAAAUCUGAGGCAGUGCUGCCUAGCAACGAGAGUGAGGAUGUAGAGGUGGUCUCAGCUGAGAUUCGAGAUGUGCUGUGGAUUCACUGCUUCCCUUGAUUUUCCUGAUCUGAGCCUUGGUUUCCUCAUCUGGGCAAUGGGGCUUCCAUAUUCUCUAAGGACAUCGAAUCCCCUAUGGGGUGGCUUCUGUAUCUGAGGACAGAGGAGAACAGGAGUCCCAGGGAGGGUGCUAAGUGCCCCGGA